rnacentral:lncRNA from 1 species
GAAAAUUUUAGUAAAUUAUAGUCAAUUUUUAUGCAAUGAAACUAUAUAGCUCUUUUUGUUAGAAAUUGUCUUACUAACUAAGCUGCUGGUGGUUCUGUGACGAAGUAGCUCCUGUUGGCUUCCCUUACACCGGGUCAGACACAGGACAUUAAUUAAGGCUGUGUGUGGUGUUUCUGAAAGGUGAGGAGACUGGGCAUUCUGUCUUUUACUCUACAGAUACAUCGUGGGAGACUCAAAGAUUAAAAUGUGGCCACUCACUGUGGAUCAGAAGCAGAAUCUCACAUCAUAACCCCAAAUGACCUGUUACUCACCAUGUGGCCCAGCUGUCUUCAAACUCACCAGCCUCCUGCCUUAGCCUUCUAAAUGCUUGGAUUACAGGCAUGACCCACCAUAACUGGCUUUGUUUUAGUUUCAGAGAAGAUGAAACUGAUGUGCGUCAAAAAGUAAACUACCCACAUUUUAACUGGGCACAUUCCUGUCAAUCUGAUGAGAAUCUAUUUCAUACCCUGCUUUAGCUGGUAGUCUGUCAAGGAAAUGAGCUGAACAUGUCUGUGUACAGCUUUUGUGCCAUCCCUGGAUGAGCGAGCUGUCUGCCUCUAUGUUCUCCACAAAAUGGAAUAUAGCUGUACACCCAAGCCAAGUUAUGGAGGCUGGGAAGACCUAGAAUGUGGCAUCACUAUUUGCUGAAAUUUUUAAUAUAAUGCCUCUUAGCCUGGUUUGGAGAAAACGUCACAGAGAGGCACCAUUUGUUGUGGUUUUACAUGAAAAUUUUCUGACCCUGAACCUGGUUUGAUGGAAAUCAUUUGCUGAGGAAACCAUGCCGAUUACCGACCGAGCUCUCAAUGGAAAAAUGCAGUCGGCGUGAACCACGCACGAACACAGCAGAGAAAGAAGAAAACACACACCACGAGGAACCCUAAUAGGACAAUACAUUAUAAGCCUCAUGGUACAUCCACUUGGUGUGCUGGGAGAGUCAGGAUGAGGACCUGAGAAGAACAGCAGCUUGAACCUGACUUCAUUUAACAGCCCACUGCCCUCUUGCCAAGAACCCAUCACAGACCUUCCCAGAAGAGAGGGAUGAGCCUCACCUAUGAAUAAGUCCUCAGAAACUCAAAUUUGAUUCUAAUGGAUUGUUUUCUCAGAAAGACUGAGCAUGUCCCCCCACAUCUCUGUCAUUUCCCACAGUAGUAACCUCUGCAGAUGCCACAUAGAAAACAAAACAAAACAAAAAAACAUGAGGUUGGUGGGCAGAUAGGCAGGGUAUAAACAAACAGCCUUGUAACCCAGAAGCUGUGUGAUAUACAGUAAACUUCACAACACUGAAAAGAUGUCCUAUCUGUUAAAAUGGGGUAAUAACAACUACCCGAAUGUUUAGGAAUAGAACUUCAAUAAAUGAUACAUUUUAUAGUACAGCAGACCAUCCUGUAAAGGUUUCAUCCUUCACUGUGGUGAUAAAUAUCCCAAACCACAUUGAAAAGCAUUGCAUCUACAUUUAUCUACACUGUAACUGUACUGUAAAUCAUGGGGGAGGGGAGAAUCAUAAAAACACCACCUGUCACCGUGUCAUUAAAGCAAGUUGGAAGUGAUACUUACAGAAACACAGCAAGAGCACCCCCAGUCACACAGUUCAAUCUCUUAGCAAGCGUUUUCUUUCUAGCCCAGUGGUUCUCAGUUUGGAAUUUUUGGCACUGCCUAGAGAUAGUUUUGUUGUUAAAACUGAGAAAAGAGCCGGGCGUGGUGGCACACGCCUUUAAUCCCAGCACUCAGGAGGCAGAGGCAGG